AUCAGCUACAGAACAUGAAAAUAAGAAUCCAGAACAAUUUGAGAGUCUAGACCCUGGCACCAUGAAGGAUCCAGCACUGCAAUCAGCAGUAAAAAGACGCAGGAGGCCUGCAGCAGAAACUCAUGUUAUUUAUACUAUCAACAGA